rnacentral:rRNA from 1 species
GACGAACGCUGGCGGCGUGCUUAACACAUGCAAGUCGAACGGAAAGGCCCUGCUUUUGUGGGGUGCUCGAGUGGCGAACGGGUGAGUAACACGUGAGUAACCUGCCCUUGACUUUGGGAUAACUUCAGGAAACUGGGGCUAAUACCGGAUAGGAGCUCCUGCUGCAUGGUGGGGGUUGGAAAGUUUCGGCGGUUGGGGAUGGACUCGCGGCUUAUCAGCUUGUUGGUGGGGUAGUGGCUUACCAAGGCUUUGACGGGUAGCCGGCCUGAGAGGGUGACCGGCCACAUUGGGACUGAGAUACGGCCCAGACUCCUACGGGAGGCAGCAGUGGGGAAUAUUGCACAAUGGGCGGAAGCCUGAUGCAGCAACGCCGCGUGCGGGAUGACGGCCUUCGGGUCGUAAACCGCUUUCGCCUGUGACGAAGCGUGAGUGACGGUAAUGGGUAAAGAAGCACCGGCUAACUACGUGCCAGCAGCCGCGGUGAUACGUAGGGUGCGAGCGUUGUCCGGAUUUAUUGGGCGUAAAGGGCUCGUAGGUGGUUGAUCGCGUCGGAAGUGUAAUCUUGGGGCUUAACCCUGAGCGUGCUUUCGAUACGGGUUGACUUGAGGAAGGUAGGGGAGAAUGGAAUUCCUGGUGGAGCGGUGGAAUGCGCAGAUAUCAGGAGGAACACCAGUGGCGAAGGCGGUUCUCUGGGCCUUUCCUGACGCUGAGGAGCGAAAGCGUGGGGAGCGAACAGGCUUAGAUACCCUGGUAGUCCACGCUGUAAACGGUGGGUACUAGGUGUGGGGUCCAUUCCACGGGUUCCGUGCCGUAGCUAACGCUUUAAGUACCCCGCCUGGGGAGUACGGCCCGCAAGGCUAAAACUCAAAGGAAUUGACGGGGCCCCGCACAAGCGGCGGAGCAUGCGGAUUAAUUCGAUGCAACGCGUAGAACCUUACCUGGGUUUGACAUGGAUCGGGAGUGCUCAGAGAUGGGUGUGCCUCUUUUGGGGUCGGUUCACAGGUGGUGCAUGCCUGUCGUCAGCUCGUGUCGUGAGAUGUUGGGUUAAGUCCCGCAACGAGCGCAACCCUUGUUCACUGUUGCCAGCACGUUAUGGUGGGGACUCAGUGGAGACCGCCGGGGUCAACUCGGAGGAAGGUGGGGAUGACGUCAAGUCAUCAUGCCCCUUAUGUCCAGGGCUUCACGCAUGCUACAAUGGCUGGUACAGAGAGUGGCGAGCCUGUGAGGGUGAGCGAAUCUCGGAAAGCCGGUCUCAGUUCGGAUUGGGGUCUGCAACUCGACCUCAUGAAGUCGGAGUCGCUAGUAAUCGCAGAUCAGCAACGCUGCGGUGAAUACGUUCCCGGG